rnacentral:sRNA from 1 species
UCGUGGAUCUGCGACGGCGACAGCAGGUGGACGUGGGCGUCGAACCCGCCGGCCGUGAGGAUCUUGCCCUCGCCGGAGAUCACGUCGGUGCCCGGGCCGAUGAUCAGCGCGGGGUCGACGCCGUCGGCGAUGUCAGGGUUGCCGCUGCGCCCGAUGCCGACGAUCCGGCCGUCCCUGAUCCCGACGUCGGCGCGGACGAUGCCCCAGUGGUCGAGGAUCACGACGUUGGUGACCACCGUGUCGAGCGCACCCUCCGCCGAGGUCGCGAGCGACUGGUUCCCCGA